GGAAUAUUGGACAAUGGGCGAAAGCCUGAUCCAGCCAUGCCGCGUGUGUGAUGAAGGUCUUCGGAUUGUAAAGCACUUUAAGUUGGGAGGAAGGGUUGUAGAUUAAUACUCUGCAAUUUUGACGUUACCGACAGAAUAAGCACCGGCUACCUCUGUCCCAGCACCCGCGGUAAUACAGAGGGUGCAAGCGUUAAUCGGAAUUACUGGGCGGAAAGCGCGCGUAGGUGGUUCGUUAAGUUGGAUGUGAAAUCCCCGGGCUCAACCUGGGAACUGCAUCCAAAACUGGCGAGCUAGAGUAUGGUAGAGGGUGGUGGAAUUUCCUGUGUAGCGGUGAAAUGCGUAGAUAUAGGAAGGAACACCAGUGGCGAAGGCGACCACCUGGACUGAUACUGACACUGAGGUGCGAAAACGUGGGGAGCAAAC
rnacentral:rRNA from 1 species